GACUCAACACGGGGAAACUCACCAGGUCCAGACAUAACUAGGAUUGACAGAUUGAUAGCUCUUUCUUGAUUUUAUGGGUGGUGGUGCAUGGCCGUUCUUAGUUGGUGGAGUGAUUUGUCUGGUUAAUUCCGAUAACGAACGAGACCUUAACCUGCUAAAUAGCCAGACCGUCUUUUGAUGGUUGCAGGCUUCUUAGAGGGACUGUCAGGAUCUACCUGACGGAAGUUUGAGGCAAUAACAGGUCUGUGAUGCCCUUAGAUGUUCUGGGCCGCACGUGCGCUACACUGACAAAGCCAGCGAGUUUAUCACCUUGGCCGGAAGGUCCGGGUAAUCUUGUGAAACUUUGUCGUGCUGGGGAUAGAGCAUUGCAAUUAUUGCUCUUCAACGAGGAAUGCCUAGUAAGCGCAAGUCAUCAGCUUGCGUUGAUUACGUCCCUGCCCUUUGUACACACCGCCCGUCGCUACUACCGAUUGAAUGGCUUAGUGAGGUCUUCGGAUCGGCUUUAGGGAUCCGGCAACGGAACUCUGUUGCUGAGAAGUUGAUCAAACUUGGUCAUUUAGAGGAAGUAAAAGUCGUAACAAGGUUUCCGUAGGUGAACCUGCGGAAGGAUCAUUAAUGAAUUAAAGUCAGUCUUCUGUGCUGGUGGUGACACAUGUGCACGUUGAUUGCAAAUCCACACACCUGUGCACCUUUGACUUUGGGAUCCGCUUGUUGGCUUGUCUGACUUGCAGCUGAUGUUGGCUUUGUGCUCAUCUGGAUCUUGAAGUAAUUUUACACACUCAGAAUGUAAUAGAAUGUUCCUGUGCAUAAUGCGCAAAAUACAACUUUCAACAACGGAUCUCUUGGCUCUCGCAUCGAUGAAGAACGCAGCGAAAUGUGAUAAGUAAUGUGAAUUGCAGAAUUCAGUGAAUCAUCGAAUCUUUGAACGCACCUUGCACCCUUUGGUAUUCCAAAGGGUACACCCGUUUGAGUGUCAUUGUAAUCUCACUUCAUCAGCUUUUGUUGAUGGAGGUGGACCUGGACUCUGUUGUGUCAUUACAACUGGUCUGAAAUGUGUGAGUGCACCCUGCUGUUGCAGCGUCUUCAGUGUGAUAAGCAUCUUCACUGAAUCAAGUUCCUUUGGGACACGUCUGUAUUGUGGGCUCUGUGCUGGCAAACUGUCUUUGGACAAUCUUGACAAUUUGACCUCAGAUCGGGUGGGACUACCCGCUGAACUUAAGCAUAUCAAUAAGCGGAGGAAAAGAAACUAACAAGGAUUCCCCUAGUAACGGCGAGUGAAGAGGGAAAAGCUCAAAUUUUGAAUCUGGUGCCUUUGGUGCCCGAGUUGUAAUCUAGAGAAGUGUUUUCUGGCUUGGACCACACAUAAAUUUCCUGGAAUGGGAUGUCAUAGAGGGUGAGAAUCCCGUUUGUGGUGUGGACUACCUGGGCUCUGUGAUACACUCUCAACGAGUCGAGUUGUUUGGGAAUGCAGCUCAAAAUGGGUGGUAAAUUCCAUCUAAAGCUAAAUAUUGGCGAGAGACCGAUAGCGAACAAGUACCGUGAGGGAAAGAUGAAAAGCACUUUGGAAAGAGAGUGAAACAGUACGUGAAAUUGUUGAAAGGGAAGCGUUUGAAGUCAGUCACAUUGGUCAGAAUUCAGCCUGGCUUCUGCCUGGUGUACUUUCUGGCAAAUGGGUCAGCGUCAAUUUUGACCAAGGGAGAAAGACUUGAGGAAGGUAGCUGUCUUCGGGCAGUGUUAUAGCCUCUUGUUGUAAUGCUUGGUUGGGAUUUAGGAUCGCAGCACGCCUUAUGGCCGGGGUUCGCGCCCUCGGUACGUGCUUAGGAUGCUGGCAUAAUGGCUUUAAGCGACCCGUCUUGAAACACGGACCAAGGAGUCUAACAUGUGCGCAAGUGUUUAGGUGUCAAACCUGGGCGCGUAAUGAAAGUGAAAAGUCGGGAUCAUGUACUUGUGCACCGACACCCAGAGCAGACCUUCUGUGACGCAUCUGCGGUAGAGCGUAUAUGUUGGGACCCGAAAGAUGGUGAACUAUGCCUGAAUAGGGUGAAGCCAGAGGAAACUCUGGUGGAGGCUCGUAGCGAUUCUGACGUGCAAAUCGAUCGUCAAAUUUGGGUAUAGGGGCGAAAGACUAAUCGAACCAUCUAGUAGCUGGUUCCUGCCGAAGUUUCCCUCAGGAUAGCAGAAACUCAUUAUCAGCCUUGUGCGGUAAAGCGAAUGAUUAGAGGCCUUGGGGUUGAAACAACCUUAACCUAUUCUCAAACUCUAAAUGUGCAAGAUAGAGUUGUCACUUGAUUGGACUUCUCUGUGGGUGAGAGUUUCUAGUGGG
rnacentral:rRNA from 1 species